UACGUAGGGGGCAAGCGUUGUCCGGAUUUAUUGGGCGUAAAGGGCGCGUAGGCGGCGCCACAAGUCACUUGUGAAAACUCUGGGCUCAACCCAGAGCCUGCAGGCGAAACUGUGGUGCUGGAGUAUGGGAGAGGUGCGUGGAAUUCCCGGUGUAGUGGUGAAAUGCGUAGAGAUCGGGAGGAACACCAGUGGCGAAGGCGGCCCUCUGGGCCGGGCCUGACGCUGAGACGCGAGGGCGUGGGGAGCGAACGGG
rnacentral:rRNA from 1 species